CCUACGGGGGGCAGCAGUAGGGAAUCUUUCACAAUGGGCGAAAGCGUGAUGGAGCAACGCCGCGUGCAGGAUGAAGGCCUUCGGGUUGUAAACUGCUUUUAUAAGCGAGAAAUAUGAUGGUAACUUAUGAAUAAGGAUCGGCUAACUACGUGCCAGCAGCCGCGGUCAUACGUAGGAUCCGAGCAUUAUCCGGAGUGACUGGGUGUAAAGAGUUGCGUAGGUGGCAUAAUAAGUAGCUAGUGAAAUCUGGUGGCUCAACCAUUCAGACUAUUAGCUAAACUGUUAAGCUCGAGACCGUUAGGGGUAACUGGAAUUUCUAGUGUAGGAGUGAAAUCCGUAGAUAUUAGAAGGAACACCAAUAGCGUAGGCAGGUUGCUGGGACGGUUCUGACACUAAGGCACGAAAGCGUAGGGAGCAAACGGGAUUAGAUACCCCAGUAGUC
rnacentral:rRNA from 1 species